UACGUAGGGGGCAAGCGUUGUCCGGAAUCAUUGGGCGUAAAGAGCGUGUAGGCGGCCACGCAGGUCCGUUGUGAAAACUGGAGGCUCAACCUCCAGCUGUCGACGGAAACCGUAUGGCUAGAGUCCGGAAGAGGAGAGUGGAAUUCCUGGUGUAGCGGUGAAAUGCGCAGAUAUCAGGAGGAACACCGGUGGCGAAGGCGGGUCUCUGGGCCGAUACUGACGCUGAGGAGCGAAAGCGUGGGGAGCGAACAGG
rnacentral:rRNA from 1 species